UUUUUUUUAUUUUUAUUCUUCUCUUAUUUUUAUGUGACACGCCAGCUUCUGCUUUUGUUUGCACAAAUAUUAUUCAAACAAUAAAAAUAACAAGAUUCGGAUAUGAUUUUUUUUAUUUUCGUAACCAAGAGGAGAUUAAUUUUGAGAAUAAUUAUGAAAAAUCCGAAACAUAAUUCAUGCAUCCCUCAAUAAUGUCAUGAUGGGCUCUGCAAAGCAAUGGGGCCCGUUGUCAUUGCACUGAAACCUGAGGCCUUUGUCUGGUUUAGUUUUGUUGGUAUCCAAAGACAUGAAGUCAUCCAUAAAUUGUACUCACUGAAACCCAAAAAAAAUCAAGAAAAAAAAAAUUAUAAACAAAAGAAUUAGAUUACAAGAUCCCAUGACAAAUAAUAUAUGAAUAUAUAUAUAUAUAUUCGCUAAAUGCUCCACACACAAACACCAAAGCGUUGGCUUGCAUUUGCGGCAUAAAUAGAGAAGAUUUGUUUGUUUGUUUGUUUCUCUAACCUUCAUGGAACUUUCACUUUUGUUUUCUAGGCAAUUUUUGGUUGUUUGUUUUUGAAAGAAAGGGAGAGAGAAAAAGAGAGAGGCUGACAAUUUGUUUGGUGGGUAAUGUCAGAGGCUCUGAAAAGCAAACGUGCCUUGCGUAAUAAUAAAAAUAAAUAGCCAAAAAGAUUUAAAAAAAAAAAAAGAAAAGAAAAAGGUUACUUAAAACUUAAAAGGCCAAAAAAAAAAAAAAAGUUGUAAAAGGAGGAGGACGAUAAAGUAAAAAUAAAGACAAGACAAAAUUGCUUGGUAACAUGAUAGCCGAGUUCCCGGAAAGUCAAUAAAGUACCCUUCAAAAGUUUUCAGCUGAUCAAACUUCACAGAGACAAAUAUACCCCAUUCAGAGACCCUUAUUUUAACUUGUGUAAGAAACAUAAACCACUCCUUUCCCAAAAAAGAUAAAAAAAAAAAAACCAUAAACCAUUUUCCUAUCCUCUCUAUCAAAGAUUUGCAGCAGGCUUGGUAAUAUACAGUCCGGUUCGGUUUAGGUUGAGAAUCGAACCGAAAUCAAAACUGAAGUUUAAAAUAGUACCAAAAUAUUUCAGUUCGGUUCAAAUUGGUUUUGUUUUAUUUAGUUCCCAAUAAGUUAAACAAUCUUGAUUCAUUCAACAAUUUUUUUCAGAAAAAAACCCAACAAAUCUAGUAAUCCCAGCUCACAAAAUAAAUAUAAUUAAGGAAAAAAAUAAUUCAAGGAACAACAAAUGAAUAUAUAAAAAGACAAAUAUUGCUCAACGCAAGUUACACAACUCACAACACGACGGCAACGGCAGGCUGGUGACGACACAACCGACAACAAGUGGGAGGCGAGGCUACGAAUAAUGAAAGCCAAGGCUGCAACGACACUAGUGCGACAGGCUAGCUGAGGCGAUGAUGAUGAUGAUGAUGACAGCGAGAUGAACGGCAGAAGGGAUGGCUGACGAGUAACAGUGGUGGAUACUGUGUGCCACUACCCGCGCGAGUGAGAGUCUGAAAGAGAGAGAGAGUGAGAUGUGAUUGCUUAGAUUUAGAUUUUAAUUUUUAGAUUCUUUUUUUUUUUUCAGUUUACUUGUUUAUGUUUUUAAUUUGAAAGAAAGAUUUUUAAUUUUAUUGAAAAAAACUAAUCGGUUUAUGGGUUCAGAUUGAUAUUGAGUCGAAUCGAAUACAAAUCAAUUGGAUUUUUAAAUUAUGAUUUGUUUGAUUUUUGUCCUUAUAAUCAAAUAGAACCUAGAAAUUUCA
rnacentral:lncRNA from 1 species